rnacentral:rRNA from 1 species
GAUGAACGCUGGCGGCGUGCCUAAUACAUGCAAGUCGAGCGAACGGACGAGAAGCUUGCUUCUCUGAUGUUAGCGGCGGACGGGUGAGUAACACGUGGAUAACCUACCUAUAAGACUGGGAUAACUUCGGGAAACCGGAGCUAAUACCGGAUAAUAUUUUGAACCGCAUGGUUCAAAAGUGAAAGACGGUCUUGCUGUCACUUAUAGAUGGAUCCGCGCUGCAUUAGCUAGUUGGUAAGGUAACGGCUUACCAAGGCAACGAUGCAUAGCCGACCUGAGAGGGUGAUCGGCCACACUGGAACUGAGACACGGUCCAGACUCCUACGGGAGGCAGCAGUAGGGAAUCUUCCGCAAUGGGCGAAAGCCUGACGGAGCAACGCCGCGUGAGUGAUGAAGGUCUUCGGAUCGUAAAACUCUGUUAUUAGGGAAGAACAUAUGUGUAAGUAACUGUGCACAUCUUGACGGUACCUAAUCAGAAAGCCACGGCUAACUACGUGCCAGCAGCCGCGGUAAUACGUAGGUGGCAAGCGUUAUCCGGAAUUAUUGAGCGUAAAGCGCGCGUAGGCGGUUUUUUAGUCUGAUGUGAAAGCCCACGGCUCAACCGUGGAGGGUCAUUGGAAACUGGAAAACUUGAGUGCAGAAGAGGAAAGUGGAAUUCCAUGUGUAGCGGUGAAAUGCGCAGAGAUAUGGAGGAACACCAGUGGCGAAGGCGACUUUCUGGUCUGUAACUGACGCUGAUGUGCGAAAGCGUGGGGAUCAAACAGGAUUAGAUACCCUGGUAGUCCACGCCGUAAACGAUGAGUGCUAAGUGUUAGGGGGUUUCCGCCCCUUAGUGCUGCAGCUAACGCAUUAAGCACUCCGCCUGGGGAGUACGACCGCAAGGUUGAAACUCAAAGGAAUUGACGGGGACCCGCACAAGCGGUGGAGCAUGUGGUUUAAUUCGAAGCAACGCGAAGAACCUUACCAAAUCUUGACAUCCUUUGACAACUCUAGAGAUAGAGCCUUCCCCUUCGGGGGACAAAGUGACAGGUGGUGCAUGGUUGUCGUCAGCUCGUGUCGUGAGAUGUUGGGUUAAGUCCCGCAACGAGCGCAACCCUUAAGCUUAGUUGCCAUCAUUAAGUUGGGCACUCUAAGUUGACUGCCGGUGACAAACCGGAGGAAGGUGGGGAUGACGUCAAAUCAUCAUGCCCCUUAUGAUUUGGGCUACACACGUGCUACAAUGGACAAUACAAAGGGCAGCGAAACCGCGAGGUCAAGCAAAUCCCAUAAAGUUGUUCUCAGUUCGGAUUGUAGUCUGCAACUCGACUACAUGAAGCUGGAAUCGCUAGUAAUCGUAGAUCAGCAUGCUACGGUGAAUACGUUCCCGGGUCU